CAUAACCAUGUAUCGGAGGUCCAGCCUGCCCAGUGACCACAAGUUCAACGGCCGCGGUAUUUUGCCGUGCAUAAGGUAGCGCAAUCACUUUGUCGGCUUUUAAAUAGAGACCGGUAUGAAUGGCUAAACGAGGGCUUAACUGUCUCCCCUUUCAAGUCAGUGAAAUUGAUCAGACCCGUGCAGAAGCUAUAAUAAUCUAUGUAGAAGACCCUUUGGAGCUUAAGGUACAAAACUCUUUGAUGUCAAGCAACUUGAUAAAAAGCAAAAACCUUGUGGAAUAUGAUAUUUUACCUUCGGUUGGGGCGACUCGCGGAGGAAAGAAAAGCCUCCAAGUGGAUCUGUAGAAAAAUUUCACUAAAGCCAAGAGAGACAUCUCUAAGCCACAGAACAUCUGACCAAACAUGAUCCGGCAACAAAGGCGAUCAACGAAGCAAGCUUUGCCUAGGGAUAACAGCGCAGUCUCUGAAA
rnacentral:rRNA from 1 species